rnacentral:lncRNA from 1 species
CAAAAGUAACUUUAUUUUUACUUUUUUUACACAGUUACAUCACAAAGACAUAGAUCAUUGUUGUAUAUACACACAUGACAUGUUGGAUAGUUAGUACUUGGACAUUACAGUAUAUAGUGUUUUGUGUGAUACCACUUUCUGAUACCAAUGUCUGAUACCACUGUGUGAUACUACUGUGUGUUACCACUGUGUGAUACCACUGUGUGAUACCACUGUCUGAUACCACUGUGUGUUACCACUGUGUGUUACCACUGUCUGAUACCACUGUCUGAUACCACUGUGUGUUACCACUGUGUGUUACCACUGUGUGAUACCACUGUGUGAUACCACUGUGUGAUACCACUGUGUGUAGGGAGAUGGAGAGGAUGGUAUUCUACAUUAAGGUUUGUUUGUAUUGUAACCUUUAACAUUACUGUUUUGAUUCAUUUGAUGCUUCACAUAGUUCUUUCUUCUUCUCUUUUUAAGUGGGAAAGUUACUGCAAUAGCAACAUUCAACAGAAUUCUCCCCUGGAGGUUGUUUCUAAGUGGUAAUGUUGUCCAGUUCUCUGUGUCUUAGAACACCAUAACUCUUCUUCUCUCUCUGUCACCCACACACAGAAGAUUGACAAGUUGCACUUGUUUUGUCUUUUAGCUGUCGAUAGUGAUGGUGAGGGGUCAUGACACCGUAGGGGUGAGAAGGAAGAAGGAUUCCUUACUAGAGAACUCAGUCUUUUAUCGCUUCAGUCUGUGUUCUCUGUCUCUCUCUUUCUCACCCAUCCACACACACACAUAUUCUCUCUCUCUCUCUCUCUCUCUCUCUCUCUCUCUCUCACCAUCUCCCUCCCACCAUAUGGAGAUCUGUACAGUAUGGCAUAAUUAGGGAAGAGGGAGGCAGUGAAGCAGCCAGAGAAAUCAACAAUUAGAACCCAGUAAAGUAGAAAAGCACAUUGCAGGAUGUAAAUGUGUUCCUCUGCACCCCUAGACACUGGUUAAGUUAGGUUUUUAUUUAUUCUAUUCAUGUAGAAAUCAAUUUAUUCAUUCCAUUACACCUCUCCUGCAUUUAUUGAGUGCACAAACCAGAGUAUGGGGGGGGGGGCUAAUUUGAUUGAUGAGUAGAUUUAAUGGAAGAAACAUUGACGUGUGAGAGAACCAGAAUGAGAAUGAGUGAACACCAGCGUAGAGAAGCCUAUACAAUCCUCUAUACCCUACCCAGUACCCACCACAGAGUACUAUAGGCCGGCCGGCCGGCGGAUUAGCCACCACAGAGUACUGUAGGCAGGCAGGCCGGCAGAUUAGCCACCACAGAGUACUGUAGGCAGGCCGGCCGGCGGAUUAGCCACCACAGAGUACUGUAGGCAGGCCAGCGGAUUAGCCACCACAGACUACUGUAGGCAGGCCGGCUGGCCGAUUAGCCACCACAGAGUACUGUAGGCAGGCCGGCGGAUUAGCCACCACAGAGUACUGUAGGCAGGCCGGCGGAUUAGCCACCGCAGAGUACUGUAGGCGGGCAGGCCGGCGGAUUAGCCAACACAGAGUACUGGAGGCAGGCCGGCGGAUUAGCCACCACAGAGUACUGUAGGCGGGCAGGCCGGCAGAUUAGCAACCACAGAGUACUGUAGGCAGGCCGGCGGAUUAGCCACCGCAGAGUACUGUAGGCAGGCAGGCCGGCAGAUUAGCCACCACAGAGUACUGUAGGCAGGCCGGCGGAUUAGCCACCACAGAGUACUGUAGGCAGGCCGGCCGGCGGAUUAGCCACCACAGAGUACUGUAGGCAGGCCGGCGGAUUAGCCACCACAGAGUACUGUAGGCAGGCAGGCCGGCGGAUUAGCCACCACAGAGUACUGUAGGCAGGCAGGCCGGCGGAUUAGCCACCACAGAGUACUAUAGGUCGGCCGGCAGAUUAGCCACCACAGAGUACUGUAGGCAGGCCGGCAGAUUAGCCACCACAGAGUACUGUAGGCAGGCCGGCAGAUUAGCCACCACAGAGUACUGUAGGCAGGCCGGCGGAUUAGCCACCACAGACUACUGUAGGCAGGCCGGCUGGCGGAUUAGCCACCACAGAGUACUGUAGGCAGGCCGGCAGAUUAGCCACCACAGAGUACUGUAGGCAGGCCGGCGGAUUAGCCACCACAGAGUACUGUAGGCAGGCCGGCGGAUUAGCCACCACAGAGUACUCUAGGCAGGCCGGCGGAUUAGCCACCGCAGAGUACUGUAGGCGGGCAGGCCGGCAGAUUAGCCAACACAGAGUACUGUAGGCAGGCCGGCGGAUUAGCCACCGCAGAGUACUGUAGGCAGGCAGGCCGGCAGAUUAGCCACCACAGAGUACUGUAGGCAGGCAGGCCGGGCGGAUUAGCCACCACAGAGUACUGUAGGCAGGCAGGUUGGCGGAUUAACCACCACAGAGUACUGUAGGCAGGCCGGCGGAUUAGCCACCACAGAGUACUGUAGGCAGGCAGGCCGGCGGAUUAACCACCACAGAGUACUGUAGGCAGGCAGGCCGGCGGAUUAACCACCACAGAGUACUGUAGGCAGGCCGGCGGAUUAGCCACCACAGAGUACUGUAGGCAGGCCGGCUGGCGGAUUAGCCACCACAGAGUACUGUAGGCAGGCAGGCGGAUUAGCCACCACCGAGUACUGUAGGCAGGCCGGCUGGCGGAUUAGCCACCACAGAGUACUGUAGGCAGGCCGGCUGGCUGAUUAGCCACCACAGAGUACUGUAGGUAGGCAGGCUGGCGGAUUAGCCACCACAGAGUACUGUAGGCAGGCUGGCGGAUUAGCCACCACACUAGUCAAAGAGCAAGUCACAAUUAACAUCUGUUCAUCUACACUCCAGUCUCUAGUGUCUAUUUCUGGUGCUUGUCAAACUAGAAAGACAGAUCGUUAAUGAAUUGACUAAUUGUUUAGCCAUGGAAAACUUUCUAACAGCCUAUAAACAAAUAUCAAAACCCUCUUAUUGAACAUAAUUGAUGUUUUGGGAAAUACUUCUUCCAGUGUUUCCGUCGGCAUGACGCAGCUUUUUGUUUGUGCAUCUAGUCUGAAUACAAUUACAUUAAAACCCAUUUAAUCCAGCUCCUUGGUACAGCCAGACACAGCAGAAUUAUCUCAUGCAGUUAUAAUGAUGUGUUUUACAAUGCAAAGCACUGCCUGUAUCUGCGCUGUCAGACCGACGCUGGAGUCAAGAGGGUCCCCCACGUCUCAGCGCACCUAGGCCUGAAAAAUCUGCCCGUUUUCUCCUUAAACAUCACUGGAUGUCAUUAUUUUCUAAAUAAAUUAUGUAUGACAGUGGCUAACUUCAGGCUUGAUCCAGCAUUUCUUUAAUUAUCCAGAAAAAAACUAAAACAAAAAUAACAUAAUAAACUAAAUUCAAGUAUUUGAGAGAACCUAAAUUGAGAAAAUCCAACCCAUAGGCUUUUAAGAAUGGAUGAACAUGUGUAAAGAGAGAAAGAAGUGGAAGCUGUUUAGAGCUGAAUGAGCUUUUUAUAAUACAGCAACUGUAGCAGCAGAAUUAUUUCAGAUUCAGUUGAGAUGCUUCAGGUUUCAUUCUGCCACUCAAAGACACAAUGAGAUCAGAGAUUUUGGGAGGUAAUCUUCUACGGCAGCUAAGAUGAAAAGAAAAGAGAGAGAAAGCGUGACAGAGAGAGAGUGUAAGACAAAGAGAGAGAGACAGAGAGAGAUUGUAAGAGAGAGAGAGUCAGAGAGACAGAGAGACAGAGAGAGACAGAAAGAGACAGAAAGACAAAGAGACAGAGAGAGGUGUGUGUAUAACCUACAUGGCAGCCAGGCAGACAGGCAGACUGACAGGCGGGCAAACAGGCAGCCAGGCAGACAGGCAGACUGACAGACCGACAGGCGGGCAAACAAGCAGACAGGCAGACGGGCAGCCAGGCAGGCAGGCAGACAGACAGACAGACAUCAAUGCAUCUGCAUUAUGUAACAUCUCUCAUUAACCUGAACUCCGAUACAACAGAAAUCAAUAGCCACGCUGAGCUGAGAGAUAAAGCAUCACAGACUGACUGUGUGUGUGUGUGUGCAUUGCUCGUUGCGCUCAGCUCUCUCCUCCCAGUCUGUGAAAGAUAUACCAGGUAUUCGGAGAGAUAUAAUUGCAUAUGAGUAGCGAACACAUUUACUGAGAUAACAAACUCAUUUAGCCUUAAGAGGGAGACAGCUAUUGUAUUGAUUAUCCUUCAUCUGUGGUGCCUCAUGUUCAACAGUACACACUGAUCAUGCUGCUCUGUGUUCUGUAUGGAAACACUCCCCACCCUCAGACAGAGAUGUGAUGGAUGGGUUGCACUUCAUUGGAUAUCAGAACCCAUUAUCAGCCGGAAAAUGUCAUCCUGGGACGUUUUUGCAAAAAGGUAAAAUGUCACAGGGUGGACGUUUUUCUCAAUAACGUUAGGGUUAGGGUCAGUGUUAUGAUUAGGAUUGAGCUGGGAGUGGACAUUAAGCUAGGGUUAGGGUUAUGGUUAGAGCCUCAACCCUAGACAUAACCCUAACCUUAAUCCAAUGAACAAUGAAUACAUUUCCCCCUCCCCACAUUACAUGGUAGAAAGGUAAGUCUCUCUUCAAGCCUGACCUAGACUUCAUGUGCUUUUGACUGACAUUGGCAGAACGGUUGAGGCUAGAAACAAAAUGCACGCAUGGUAUCAUUCUACAUCUGACCGUGAAAUUAACUAUUCACAGUAAAAACUUGGUCCCAAAGAGAACAAGGAUUUUCAUCCAUAGAAAAGCAUUACCUACAUAACCAUGUGCUGGCUGAGGCUUGAGCUUGCACACAACCAAUCGUGACCUUAUAGGGAUGCCUUGUGUUGAGGAUUAGCUUCCCAUGGCAACAGGAAGUGUCUUAAUUAAUCCUCAACAUGGUCCUUCAUUCUCUCCCUGCAGUUUCACAAAAACACUGUUUUCCAUCCUCUGUAGAACGGUCAAUUCUUAAAACUCAGGGCAUCGUUAAGGAGUGUUCCCAGGAGGCCGUACAUUGAAUUUCAGCUUCAUGCGAUUACCGGAAGGGACUUGCUUGGGGGUCAUAGGGGCGUUUUCAAAGGGUUAAAAAGAUUUAACCUUCCAAAUUUGAUAUAUUUGUGACCGGGGGACCCGACAUAUGAAAUAUCAAAGUCGAUCAACCCAAAAGCAUUUCUGACCUCCAUUGGACACAAUGGUCUACAGUUCUAGAAACUAAGAGGCUUUUGAUGAACUCUUGAAUGAAUUCUGAAGAGGAUAUUGGCACAUUUAUUUUUUAUUGACUUGAAACUUGAAACCGUUUGUGUCUUUUUGCCUGCCUGCCUGCCUGCCUGCCUGCCUGCCUGCAUGCCUGCCUGCAUAUCUGUCUGUCUGUUUGUGUCUGUCUGUUUGUCGGCCUGUCUGUCUGUCUGAUUAUAGGAAGUGACUUAAUUGGGGGUCAUAGGGCCGGUUUCGAAGGGUUAAAAUGUUUAAUCUUUCCAGAUGUUACAUAUUUGUGACCAGGGUACCGUCAUGACCUGGUAUAUGAAAUUUGAAGUCAAUCAACCCAAAAGCAUUUCUGAUCUCCAUUGGACACAAUGGUCUGCAGUUCUGGAAACUAAGAGCCUUAUUAAGAGGAUAUUGGUAAAAAUAUAUAUACUGACUUGAAACUUGAAACAGUUUGUGUCUGUCUGUCUGUCUGCCUGCCUAACUGCCUGCCUGUCAGCAUGCAUGCAUGCCUACCGGUCUGUCUGUCUGUCUGUCCAUCUGCCUAACUGCCUGUCUGUCUGCCUGCCUACUUGUCUGUCUGUCUGCGUCUGUUUGUCUGUCUGUGUCUGCCUGUCUGUCUGAAUGUUGGGAUGUCUGUGGGAGAGAGGAGGAAGCGAGAGGAGGCAGAGAGAGGGGAGGGGGAGAGGAGAGGAGGGGGAGCCAGGCAAAGAAGGGGUGAGACAGAAUGGAGGAGGAGGAGAGAGAGAAAAUGGGGAGAGAAAGGGAGGAGGAGAGAGGGGAGAGAGAGGAGGGAGAAAGUGAAGGAGGGAGGGGGAGAGAGGAGAGAGAGUGAGGAGGAGGAAGGAGAGAGAGGGAGGGGGUGAAGGAGGGGGAGGGGGAGAGAGGAAGGAGAGAGAGAUGAGAGGAAGGGGAGGGAGGGAAAGAAGGAAGGAGAGAAUGGAGGGGGAAGAGGGGGAGAGAGAAGGGGGAGAGUGAGGGAGGGGAGAGAGAGAGGGAGAGGGUGAAGAAGGGAUGGGGAGAGAGGGGAGAGAGAGAGUCAACAGACAUACUGAGGUGGGAGAGAGACGAGAGAGAGUAAUGAGAGGGGGAGGGAGGGCAAGAAGGAAGGAGAGAGAGAAUGGAGGGAGGAGGAGAGAGAGAGAGCAGGGGGAGAGUGAGGGAAGGGGAGAGAAAGGGGGUGAAGGAGAGACGGGGAGAGAGAGGAGGAGGUGGAGGGAGGGAGGGAAGAGAGAGACAGAAAGUGUGAGAUAGGAGGAGAGGAAGCAAGAGGCGAAUGAGAGUGAGGUAGAGAGUGAGAGAGUGAGAAAGAGAGACAGACACGAGAUAAACGAGAAAAACAUUGACUGCAAUGAAUUGAGAAAAACAUCAAUCCUGUGACACUCAUUUUUUCCCAUGUAUUGAGAAAAACGUCAUCCACCACACACACGCACACACACACACACAC